GGUGAGAUGGCCGAGUGGUCUAAGGCGCUAGUUUCAGGUUUUCCACCUUACUAGUCAGAAAUGGCGUGGGUUCGAAUCCCACUCUCAUCA
rfam:Phlebiopsis gigantea 11061_1 CR5-6 unplaced genomic scaffold PHLGIscaffold_10, whole genome shotgun sequence.